GCCCGGUUAGCUCAAUCGGUAGAGCGUGAGACUCUUAAAUGAGUACACACAAUCUCAAGGUUGCGGGUUCGACCCCCGCAUCGGGCU